GUUACUACAUGGCGGCACACGGGGAGGUCACCUCUCAGGCGACAUGUGCUACUGCGGCUCUCAUUUUACGGCAAGCUGCAUACAGCCAUGCCUGUGAGAAGUAUUGUACUGCACGGUUUUGCUGCAAAUCGCAACAAAACGUAUAUAGAAUGCUGCCCACAGGUGCAAAUGUAUGAGGAAGCUGGGAAUAGCGCAUGACCUCGUCACAUGGCGGUUCACAGGUCCUGUACUUCACUGGAGCGGGGAGACCACGGCUGGGAGGAGAGAAACUGCACAAGUGAUGAGACACCAUGAUAAGACACAGCAACCUCCAGAAACAAGUCCUCAGUCUAUACAAACAGUUUUUACGAGCUGGAAAGGACAAACCUGGUUUCCUGCCUCAAAUCCAGCAUGAAUUUAGAAAAAAUGCCAAAAUCCCCAGGACGGACAUCAUGCACAUAGAGUAUCUCCUGCGCCUUGCCCGAAGGCAGCUGGACCAACUGAGGGAUGCAAGCACAAAACAGCUCGGAGUCUUCAUCAAAACCUCCAGGGAGGCAGAGAAUGGUCCCUCAGCAUCAUAAGUGGACUACUGCUGACAAACCCCCUAUAGCCUGUAAAUGUACGGUGGGUAUGAUAUAAUUUCUCGGAUGACAGAAGGAGUUGCAGUUGCAGCAGCCCAAGCACGGGUAACAACCUCUCUUCCUCUCCUGUUUAUUCUUCACCUUUAUAUCUGCACGUGUCAGGCUAUCACUCAGAUUCUUUGGUCUUUUAUAUGACAUAAGUGGAGGAGACUGAAACUCCUCUACCCCAGGAAAAGAUUGAAUCAAAAUAUGCCAGGUAGACUGGAAUAGCUUCUGCAUCGUGGAUGGACACAGCGGACUCUAGGACAGAAGAUGCAGCCUUUAUUUGAACUAAGACAUUUAAUUUCUUAUACCUGUAUAUGAUCCUGUUGUAUCUAAAUACAAAACUAUAUUUAUAGAGCUAAUUUAUAUUUCACUUCAAUUAUAUUCUGGCUGUAAUGUCAAGUGAGAAAGCACAGGGUCUGUCAAGAGUAAAAAUUCUGCUUUUUGUUUUUUAAGAAGUAAUCUUUACAAUCCCUUGAAGUAUAUUGUGUAAGAUAAUGUGGAAUACAGUUGUAAAUCAGUAUUGUGACUAUUUUUAACA